UNGCUAUGCUUCUGUGGGUCAAACAUGCU
rnacentral:piRNA from 1 species